CCUGAGGGGAUAGAAGGGCAAGGAGCUUCCUGAAUCCUGGGGACAGAGCGCCCGGGCUGAGGGUCACAGGGCCACCUAUGUGGGCCCUGAGAGCCUGCCUUUUUGUCUGUAAAGCUGGAGUUAAUAAAUUCAAGACACUUAAGACAGGAAGGCGGGCCAGAAAGGACUGAUACACACUUCUUUUGGACGCAGGAUCUUCCCACAUAGUCUGGCUGUCCUGGGACUCACUAAUGGAAGGAGGGCCUCAGAGAUCCGCCUGCCUCUGCCUGCCCAAUGCUGGGAUUAAAGGGUUUGCUGUAAGACACACGCGGCCAGCUGUCAGGGCCGGCGGGCCAUCGGCGGGACAAGGGGACACACAGAGUUUCCAGUCUGAGGGAUGGAGGGGACAGAGGCUGAGCGCCUGAAGGCUGAGGACACAGCACAAGGCUGAGCUCAGGAGCCCUUAGGCCCCGCACGGCGACAUGGAUACCUGAGAACGUUGCCAGAUGCCUUGAUGAUAUCCACAAUCUCCCGGUGCCGGGUGCCUUCCACGUUGAUCCCGUUCACGCUGGCGAUGGUGUCCCCUGCCGGGCAGAGAAGUCGGCACCUGUUUCCCGGCUCAGAGGGAGGACUCCACACUGCUGGCCUGGAGAACCUCCCCUGAGCUCCCUUCCGGCGUGGGGAGGCCUGGGCAGGGCUUGCUCCCCACUCAAAAUACACAAACCUAACUGGGCAUGGCAGUGCAGGCCUUUACUGUAACCCCAGAACUUGGGAGGCAGAGGCAGGCGAUCUCUGUGAGUUCAAGGCCAGCCUGGUCUACAGAGCGAGUCCAGGACAGCCAGGGCUACACAGAGAAACCCUGUCUCAAAAAAAAAAAGAAAGAAAGAGAAAAACAAUACAACAACAAAAAUAAAAAAUACACAGAGACCUCA